GAUGAACGCUGGCGGCGUGCCUAAUACAUGCAAGUCGAGCGAACAGAUGAGGAGUUUGCUCCUCUGACGUUAGCGGCGGACGGGCGAGUAACACGUGGAUAACCUACCUAUAAGACUGGGAUAACUUCGGGAAACCGGAGCUAAUACCGGAUAAUAUAUUGAACCGCAUGGUUCAAUAGUGAAAGACGGUUUUGCUGUCACUUAUAGAUGGAUCCGCGCCGCAUUAGCUAGUUGGUAAGGUAACGGCUUACCAAGGCAACGAUGCGUAGCCGACCUGAGAGGGUGAUCGGCCACACUGGAACUGAGACACGGUCCAGACUCCUACGGGAGGCAGCAGUAGGGAAUCUUCCGCAAUGGGCGAAAGCCUGACGGAGCAACGCCGCGUGAGUGAUGAAGGUCUUCGGAUCGUAAAACUCUGUUAUUAGGGAAGAACAAAUGUGUAAGUAACUAUGCACGUCUUGACGGUACCUAAUCAGAAAGCCACGGCUAACUACGUG
rnacentral:rRNA from 1 species